rnacentral:rRNA from 1 species
GAUGAACGCUGGCGGCGUGCCUAAUACAUGCAAGUCGAGCGAACAGACGAGGAGCUUGCUCCUCUGACGUUAGCGGCGGACGGGUGAGUAACACGUGGAUAACCUACCUAUAAGACUGGGAUAACUUCGGGAAACCGGAGCUAAUACCGGAUAAUAUAUUGAACCGCAUGGUUCAAUAGUGAAAGACGGUUUUGCUGUCACUUAUAGAUGGAUCCGCGCCGCAUUAGCUAGUUGGUAAGGUAACGGCUUACCAAGGCAACGAUGCGUAGCCGACCUGAGAGGGUGAACGGCCACACUGGAACUGAGACACGGUACAGACUCCUAAGGGAGGCAGCAGUAGGGAAUCUUCCGCAAUGGGCGAAAGCCUGACGGAGCAACGCCGCGUGAGUGAUGAAGGUCUUCGGAUAGUAAAACUCUGUUAUUAGGGAAGAACAAAUGUGUAAGUAACUAUGCACGUCUGGACGGUACCUAAUCAGAAAGCCACGGCUAAAUACGU